UACAUACUCCCUCCGUCCGAAAAUACUUGUCAUCAAAAUGGACAAAAAGGGAUGUAUCUAGAACUAAAAUACAUCUAGAUACAUCCCCUUUUAUUCAUUUUGAUGACAAGUAUUUCUGGACGGAGGGAGUAUUAU
rfam:Triticum aestivum genome assembly, contig: Triticum_aestivum_CS42_TGACv1_scaffold_471825_6AL